GCAGAAGGGAAAGUGUCCAGCGAUGAGAGAUACCGGCCAGGGGGCAAAUCUUCAGCUUGCAGCACUCACUUUGCAGAUCCAGUUGGAAUUAUUUGUGUUGACGCUCUCUGCUCUCUCCGCUCUCCCCUGGAAAUGACGAGGAACUGAGUACAGUGGACAAUGGCUUCCGUGUCCCUAGCUCCCCCCGAGCCAUGAGCUGCUACAUCAAAAGUCUGCAGUGGGCUGCCCUUCCCAUAAUAUUUCAAUUUAAGCACCGACUUGCUGCUGCGGAGUCAUAUCUCAUUCAUGCUGCAGCCUUUGCAGGAGUCAGGGAUCAUUAUGGAGCAAGCACUGAGAAAAAACAGAUUACAGCUUGGCACCGAGCAGCCAGGUUGCACCCCAGAUGCUUCAGGGACAUG
rnacentral:lncRNA from 1 species